GGCUUCACACGACGGUUUAAAACUGUCGUCUCACGUUAUACAUUUCCGUGGUCUAUCGAGGCGUCGUCUGAUGAAACGCUGUCAGACGACGGUUUUCAACCAUCGUAUACCGAUCAUUGGGUCGACGGUUUGCAGCUAACUCCGUCGUCUGAUGGGAUCGGCAGAUCUGUCGACAAGCUGUCGACAGCAAUUUGCCGUGGUGUAACAUUUAUUCAUACCACGGUUUUUAUGAACAUUCGUUGUCUGUUUGAGAUUCAUAAGUCGGUUUUUAUUUUGUAACCGUCGUAUCUAUUGUAUACAUACGACAGUUCUUGUUUUGUAAUUGUUGUGCAUAUUUUAUUCAUACGACAG
rnacentral:lncRNA from 1 species